AUGGCCACCACCAACGAGUUAUCCAUGAAGCUCCUGAUCGACACCAAGUCUCAGAAGGUGUGCUUUGCCGAGGCCGGCAGCGACGUGGUGGAGUUCCUCUCCGGCCUCCUCUCCCUGCCAUUGGGCACUGUGACCACCCUGCCCACCAAAGAGCGCAUGGUGGGCAGCAUCGGCAACGUGGUCGGCAGCAUGGAGAAGCUGGACGCAAACUACAAGAGCAAGGAGCUGCGCCUCAGCCCGGAAGUCGGCCCCGCCACGCUCUCCCGCCUGCAGCAGCUGCUGAGCCCGCAGCUCAGCAACGGCAACGGCAGCCUCUUCACACGCCGUAACACUAGAAACUCAGGCGCAUACAAUGAGCAUAGCAGUGAAUACGUGGCCGCGAUGCUCGCUGCCGCCGGAGCCAACUUGAACGUGGCUCCCGCCGCCGCAGCCCCGACCACGGUGCUGCCCACGUCCACGUACACGGUUGGGGACGACCUCUCGGUGACGCCGGCGUCUUUUUUCACGACGAUCCCGAUGCUGGGCAUCACGAGGUUCGCGCAGUGCGGCGUCAAGGACUUCAGCGUGAUGCAGGAGAAGACAGUGAAGAUCGGCAAGGAAGAGGCACUGGGGAUACUCGUUGCCUCCCUCAAGUCGAAGACCGUUCUGACUGACGUCUUCCUGCCAAAGAAGAAUGCUCGCUGCAAG
rnacentral:rRNA from 1 species